UCAAGAGGCAGAACAAAAAUAUAAUGACACUACUAACCCUCAGAACAAAAUUUGCCAACAGGCAAUAUCAAAACUCCUUACCAGCUUGAUGAGGAAGAGAGCUGCAUUCAAACUUGGCUCAUGAACCAGCAAUGAAAACCUUGCAUCCGAUCUCAUUAGUUUAUUCAAGUGUCUCCAACAAAACCACCUCACCUACAACCACUGCCGAGCGUUGGCGCGGCUCAUCAUUCAAAAAGACCUGGACAUCAAUGUCUGGAACUCUGUCCUUAGUCUUAUUGACACCAUCACACAAGUCACCACUCCUCCGCGCCUCAUAUCAUCAAUUCAGCAGACGCCCUGGUUGCGCAACACUAGCAGUUUCAUCAAUUCUACAGA
rnacentral:sRNA from 1 species